CCUCCCCCUCCCUCCUUCUCCGUGUUUCGGAGGUGCAGUGUUAGCACAGGAAGAGAACACGAUCGGCUCAUCGGGCCGCUUCCUCUGCCUGCCAAAAACUGUCCCAAAAUGGUCCUCGCAAUAACAAGGCAUCGCAAGCAUAAAAGAGGAGAGUGAAAAGGGGAUUUUUGCACAGAUUCCCGGUGCAGGAGCACGACAGUAUGCAUUGGAUGACGGAAUCCGGAGUGCUCUGCACACACCCAUUUUCCUGUGGGUGGGUUUGGCUCCCAAUCAAGAUUCCUUCUGCAAUGUAAACAGCUGGGACCGCCCUGGUCACGGUGAAGGAUGGAGAACUCUCCAGCUGUGAAAUGGAUUUGUCCAGCCUGGGCCGGAAUUACGCCUCAGCCUCCAGCCAAUUACAUUUGGCCAUCUCCACGGGCCAGCGCACACCGCUGCGCCUUGAGCUCCCUGGGCCGUCCCCCGUGCUCCUGUGUGAAGUCAUCAAGGCCUCACCUGUUCCUGUGUGUAUGUGUGUGUGGGAAGGGGGGGGGGGGGGGAGGUUCAGCACCCUCACCAUGUCAUUCACAGUUCCCACUGCAUUUUCACAGGCCGUGGUGUUGGAUUCCCCCCCCCCCCCCCAUGCCACCGAUGUACCCACCAAAACGCAGAGUGAUAUGCGGCUGGCUGCACACUUUUCAGAGGGGGGCGUUGCAUGCUAGUUCGCUCCGGCUCCCAAAGCCCCAGAACAGUAAGGUGCAACCCCAGUCCCUGCAGUACGUGGACUGGCCAUCCACAAUGCCAAGGGUUCAUAGUUCAUUGUGGUAUGUGUCAACAUUCUACACUCUGCAUCCUGAAGCCAACCAUGCGUAUGUAUGUUUUUGUCUUGCCGGUGCAAGCUAUUUAUGCAAGAUGGCCGAAUCACGAAAUCUGACCUGCACUCGAGUAAACCCACUGGAGCCCUGCGGGCAGCCGUUCAGACUUCAACAAGACCGUGAUUGUGUCAUUGCGGACACAGCGGUCUUUGCAUUGGGUAGUUUAAAGUCAACAACGGAUGAUUUCUGUGGCAGGGCAAGAGGAGGUCAAGGCUGAACUUACAGCUUCUCUCACAAGUCAGGAGCUCCCAGGUUUUCCCUAAAAACAGCCAUCACAUUUUCCAGUAACCAGUAACAUUCUGGUUUAAAACUUACUCGAAUGCUAUUCUCUGAGCAUAAAUCAAAUAAUAAAUUGUACAAUAUGAAA